CGAACUUGGCAAGUCAUGGGUUGUGCUUCCCACAUGAAAUCAAUCCAGUAAAAUCAGCCAUAUUUUUCUGAGGCUGCCCACCAAAUUUGGGGUCAUUCCGGGCCGGUUCCUAUUUUUGCGGAUUUCCUCGAUUUUUAAUGGUCGGGAAAUUAAAA